rnacentral:rRNA from 1 species
UUGAUCCUGGCUCAGAAUGAACGCGGACGGCGUGCUUAACACAUGCAAGUCGAACGAGAAAUCUUUAGCUUGCUAGAGAAAGUAAAGUGGCGCACGGGUGAGUAACGCGUGGGUAAUCUGCCUCCGAAUCGGGGAUAACAUUGCGAAAGCGAUGCUAAUACCGGAUAAAAUCUGGUUGGCUUCGGUGAACCGGAUCAAAGGUGGUCUCUUUAUAAAAGCUACCGUUUGGAGAUGAGCUCGCGUACCAUUAGCUAGUUGGUGAGGUAAAGGCUCACCAAGGCGACGAUGGUUAGCUGGUCUGAGAGGAUGAUCAGCCACACCGGAACUGGAACACGGUCCGGACUCCUACGGGAGGCAGCAGUGAGGAAUUUUGCGCAAUGGGGGAAACCCUGACGCAGCAACGCCGCGUGAGUGAUGAAGGCUUUCGGGUCGUAAAGCUCUGUCAGGUGGGAAGAACCCACCAAGUGUUAAGACCACUUGGUGCUGACGGUACCACCGAAGGAAGCACCGGCUAACUCCGUGCCAGCAGCCGCGGUAAUACGGAGGGUGCGAGCGUAAUUCGGAAUUACUGGGCGUCAAGGGCGCGCAGGCGGUCAUGUAAGUCAGAUGUGAAAGCCCGGAGCUUAACCCUGGAAGUGCAUUUGAAACUGUGUGACUUGAGUAUGGGAGAGGGAAGCGGAAUUCCUGGUGUAGCGGUGAAAUGCGUAGAUA